UACGUAGGGCGCAAGCGUUAUCCGGAAUUAUUGGGCGUAAAGAGCUCGUAGGCGGCUUGUUACGUCGUUCGUGAAAACUUGGGGCUCAACCCCAAGCUUGCGGUCGAUACGGGCAGGCUAGAGUUCGGUAGGGGAGACUGGAAUUCCUGGUGUAGCGGUGAAAUGCGCAGAUAUCAGGAGGAACACCGGUGGCGAAGGCGGGAUCCUGGGCCAGUACUGACGCUGAGGAGCGAAAGCGUGGGAGCAAACAGG
rnacentral:rRNA from 1 species